AGCAGCCGCGGUAAUUCCAGCUCCAAUAGCGUAUAUUAAAGUUGUUGCAGUUAAAAAGCUCGUAGUUGAAUUUCGGGAUCAAUAUGUCGGUCGUGCCUUCGGUACGUACUGGUACCAUUGGUCUCUCCUUUCUGACGAACCAUGAUGUCAUUAAUUUGGUGUUAUGGGGAGUUAGGACUGUUACUUUGAAAAAAUUAGAGUGUUUAAAGCAGGCUUUAGCUUGAAUACAUUAGCAUGGAAUAAUGAAAUAGGACGUUCGAACCUAUUUUGUUGGUUUCUAGGAUCAACGUAAUGAUUAAUAGGGAUAGUUGGGGGCAUUAGUAUUCAAUUGUCAGAGGUGAAAUUCUUGGAUUUAUUGAAGACUAACUACUGCGAAAGCAUUUGCCAAGGAUGUUUUCAUUAAUCAAGAACGAAAGUUAGGGGAUCGAAGACGAUCAGAUACCGUCGUAGUCUUAACCAUAAACUAUGCCGACUAGGGAUCGGAUGAUGUUAAUUUUUUAAUGUACUCAUU
rnacentral:misc_RNA from 1 species